ACGGCCGCAUCAUGUUGAAACACUAGUUUCCAUACGAUCACCGAAAGUAAGCAAUGUCGAGUUUGGUCAGUACCUAGAUGGGUGACCAUUUGGCAAUACCGGGUGCUGUAA